GUUAAUAGUGACAAGUGACAAGGAUAGAACAUGAUUCUAAUUAGGUGAUAGCAAAUGUGCGUACAACAAUACAACAUGAAAAUCGAUAGCAUUUGAGAGAUGACAAUUGAAUUUCCAAAAAAAACUUUCUUUGGGUUUUUAUUUGGUUGGCGGAGGGAGGGGGAACCCACAUAACAAACUAAUACUACCAUAGCAAGUGAUUUUUCUAAGGUCGCCCCCACCAACACCCUUGGGUUGAUCCCUGACUGUGCGUUAAGAAAAGGAAACUAUGUAGAUUUAGGGAAUUGGUUAUUAUUUGUGAAUCUAAAGAAAGAGAUGAAAAGCACUCGGGAUAUGAUGUGAGUAGCUGGUGUUCAAAAUAUACAACUAAAGUGGGCAAGUCGAGAAAGAGACUUUUGGAACAUGAAUCUCUUUUAUGAUAAAGAGAUCCAUUUCGCACGUUCAUAAAUUACUAUGAUAAAGAAAUCCAUUUUGCAUGCUCGUUAAAAUGGGUAGUUCCUACA
rnacentral:lncRNA from 1 species